rnacentral:rRNA from 1 species
UACAGAGGUCCCAAGCGUUGUUCGGAUUCACUGGGCGUAAAGGGUGCGUAGGUGGCCAGGUAAGUUUGGUGUGAAAGCUCGGAGCUUAACUCCGAAAAGUCAUUGAAUACUAUCUGGCUGGAGGGUCGGAGGGGAGACUGGAAUUCCUGGUGUAGCGGUGAAAUGCGCAGAUAUCAGGAGGAACACCGGUGGCGAAGGCGGGUCUCUGGGCCGAUACUGACGCUGAGGAGCGAAAGCGUGGGGAGCGAACAGG